GGCUUGCGUGCCUGAGAGGACGAAAGGAUGACGUCGAGAUGACGUCAUAUGGAGGCAACACCGCCACUCCAUCGCGGAUUCGAAUCCCGCCCAAGCCA
rnacentral:tRNA from 1 species